UCAYCUGUKGCUCCURGUUUGUCCUUCCUUGUGGAGCAGCCCUGUUCCUCCUGCUCUCUGGUACCUUGAGCUUCUGAGGAGAUAAUGGACUAAAAAUAGCUAUUUGCUAAUCUUUGCCGUUCCUGAUGGGGCAAAACUUYUGAGUGUCUGCAGUGCCCAAAAUGCAGUUUGACUCAUAUGGGAUCUCUACCCAGUGUUCACAUUAGAAAAAUUUUCCUAUCCAAAUCACUCAGCAGAGCUCUAACAGGGACUAGGGGGCUCCUCUGUGGAGUAGAUGGGCCCCUCCAUACAGCAAUGGACAAAGAAAGGAGUCACAUUGUGCUGACGUUUGGAGAUGGGCAGUGAAAUCUGGUUGCACGCAGCCAAGCUGAACAUCCAAAGAUGAAGAUUGCAACUUUGUGCCUAGAUGUGCCACCUAAAGUUCCUUGGAAGAACAAGACAGCUACAAAAUGCAAAGAAAGAUCCAGGUAAUUCCUGGCAUGAAAACUGCUGCAAAACACGUGAACGACUGCAAAUCAGAAAGCAAGAAGAUGUAUAUGUGAUGCAGAGUGUUUAAACGAUGCAGUGUCUCUCCAGUACAUCCACACCAAAGGAUCCAAAUGCUCUAUGA